UCCAAGGGAAGUGGAGAAAGUGCCAAACC
rnacentral:piRNA from 1 species